rnacentral:rRNA from 1 species
GACGAACGCUGGCGGCGUGCUUAACACAUGCAAGUCGAACGGAAAGGCCUGCUUUCCCUUGUGGAUUGCGGGUACUCGAGUGGCGAACGGGUGAGUAACACGUGAGUGAUCUGCCCCCAACUUGGGUAUAAGCCUGGGAAACUGGGUCUAAUUCCCGAUAGGACUGCAGGGUGGUGCCUGUGGUGGAAAACGAUUUUCUAGUGGUUGGGGAUGAGCUCGCGGCCUAUCAGCUUGUUGGUGGGGUAAUGUCCUACCAAGGCGGCGACGGGUAGCCGGACUGGGAGGGUGGACGGCAACAGUGGGACUGAGACACGGCCCAGACUCCUACGGGAGGCAGCAGUGGGGAAUAUUGGACAAUGGGCGGAAGCCUGAUGCAGCGACGCCGCGUGGGGGAUGACGGCCUUCGGGUUGUAAACUCCUUUCGACCGCGAGGAAGCCACCUGGUUGGAAGGGUGGUGACGGUAGUGGUAGAAGAAGCACCGGCUAACUACGUG